ACCCUCCAGUUCCCUUCCUCAUGGUCUUGUAGUUGUCAAAAGAGAAAUAGCGAUACUGAGGCUGGCCUCCAGGACUCAUAGUAUCUGCCAUGUAGCACACAGGCUAGUUUCAAACAAGG
rnacentral:snoRNA from 1 species